GACUUAAUUGGAUUGAGCCUUGGUAUGGAAACCUACUAAGUGAGAACUUUCAAAUUCAGAGAAACCCUGGAAUUAAAAAUGGGCAAUCCUGAGCCAAAUCCUGUUUUACGAAAAUAAAAAAAUAAAUAAGGGUUCGUAAAGAAAGAAUUUCAAUACAAUCAAAAAGGGAUAGGUGCAGAGACUCAAUGGAAGCUGUUCUAACAAAUGGGGUUUGACUACCUUUGCGUUAGUAAAGGAAUCCUUCUAUCGAAACUACAGAAAGGAUAAGAAAAACCUAUACGCAUACCUAAAGGUAAUAAAAAAAAACUAUCUAAAAAAAAAAACGACCCAAACCCGUAUUUAUCUAUUUUUUUCUGAACAAUACAAAGAAUUGUUGUGAAUUCUCGUAUUGAUUCCAAAUUGAAGAAGGAAUCAAAUACAAUAUUCAUUAAUAAAAUAAUUUACCCCAUAGUUUGAGAAAUCUUUUGAACAACUGGUUAAUCGGACGAGAAUAAAGAUAGAGUCCCGUUCUACAUGUCAAUAUAAAUGCUGACAACAAUGAAAUUUAUAGUAAGAGGAAAAUCCGUCGACUUUUAAAAUCGUGAGGGUUCAAGUCCCUCUAUCCCCAA
rnacentral:ncRNA from 1 species